AAAUCUGGUUGAUCCUGCCAGAGGCGACCGCUUUUGGAGUUCGAUUAAGCCAUGCGAGUAGAAUGAAUUAGAUCAUUGCAAACUGCUCAGUAACACGUGGAUAACCUGCCCUAUGCUCUGGGAUAACCUCGGGAAACUGAGAAGAAUACCGGAUAGACCACAACGCCUGGAACGGUGUGUGGUUGAAAGGUCACGGCAUAGGAUGGGUCUGCGGCGUAUCAGGUCGUAGGGGGUGUAACGGACCUCCUAGCCAUCGACGCGUACGGGUUGUGGGAGCAAUAGCCCGGAGAUGGAUUCUG
rnacentral:rRNA from 1 species